CAACAUUUUUUAUCGAGAAUUCACGACCCGGCCGGGAGAAUGAACAUUUUUUUCCGUCUAGGUUUGGAACUUCUACCUGGAAUAAAGAUAAAAUCAAAUUUAAUAGUUAUUCCAUGAAUAAGGUCUAACCGAAGCUAAGCCGAAUAUUGAAAAAUAGGACAUUCAUAAUAGAAUAUUGAAUACAGCCUAUACAAAAUUCUCUCAAAAAUGUUCGAAAGAGAGGUGUGGAGAGUGGACUUCUCCAAAUAAACUGGUAUAAUUUAAAAUUGCAGAAGCCUUCUGGAUGCAGAGUUUAUCGACGAAUUAUGUAACAGGACUGAAUAGAAAAAGGGGCGAUUCCAUUAUUGCAGGUGCGUUGGCACAAUUCUACUGUUUUGAAGUUUAUUUAUAAAAACACAAUAGGUACAACACAACAUUUAAAUAAAAUUGUUA